CGCAUCUGUGCAUGCAGCAUAUCAAUAAGCGGAGGAAAAGAAACUAACAAGGAUUCCCCUAGUAACGGCGAGUGAAGCGGGAAGAGCUCAAAUUUGAAAUCUUAAAGGGUUUCCCUUUACGAAUUGUAGUUUAAAGAAGUGUUUUCUGUUGAGGUUUUGGUAAAAGUUCUUUGGAAUAGGACAUCAUAGAGGGUGAGAAUCCCGUAUUUGACCUUUACUUUCAACUUUGUGAUACACUUUCAAAGAGUCGGAUUGUUUGGGAAUGCAGUCCAAAAUGGGUGGUAAAUUUCAUCUAAAGCUAAAUAUUGGCGAGAGACCGAUAGCGAACAAGUACCGUGAGGGAAAGAUGAAAAGAACUUUGAAAAGAGAGUUAAACAGUACGUGAAAUUGUCAAAAGGGAAGCGUUUGACACCAGUGUUGUUUUUCUGAAAAUCAAUUAAAGAACUGUUUAUGCUAAGUUGUUUAGACUUUAUCAGCUAACUGUUUAGUUUUGAGCUUUUCUUUAAUGCACUUUUCAGUUAACAAGUCAACAUCAAUUUCUUUUGCUGUAAAAAAGCUUGAGGAAGGUGGCUUGAGAUUCGUCUUAAGUGUUUAUAGCCUCUUGCCUAUGCAGUCGGAGAGAUUGAGGUCUGCAGCGUAGAUCCUUCGGGGCUAAAUGCAUUUGUGCUAAGUUAUAGGCAUUUUAUAGACAACUUGUUGACUAUGAUUUGUCUUGUAGCUUACUCGCUUAUGUUAUUUUACCUACGCUUAGGAUGUUGACAGCAGUAUAGACUGU
rnacentral:rRNA from 1 species